GAUAAACGCUGGCGGCGCACAUAAGACAUGCAAGUCGAACGGAAGUCGUUUUAGUGAUUUAGAUAUGAAAGAUUUAUCCGGAUUUGAAGAUGAUCUAAAACAAUGGCUUUAGUGGCGGACUGGUGAGUAACACGUAAGCAACCUGCCUGUUAGAGGGGAAUAACAACGAGAAAUCGUUGCUAAUACCGCAUAUGCCAUAAGAACCACAUGGUUCUAGUGGGAAAGGGGUAAUCCGCUAACAGAUGGGCUUGCGUCUGAUUAGAUAGUUGGUGGGGUAACGGCCUACCAAGUCGACGAUCAGUAGCCGGACUGAGAGGUUCAACGGCCACAUUGGGACUGAGAUACGGCCCAGACUCCUACGGGAGGCAGCAGUCGGGAAUAUUGCGCAAUGGAGGAAACUCUGACGCAGUGACGCCGCGUAUAGGAAGAAGGUUUUCGGAUUGUAAACUAUUGUCUGCAGGGAGAACAAGACUGUACCUGCAAGAAAGCUACCGGCUAACUACG
rnacentral:rRNA from 1 species